UACGUAGGGGGCAAGCGUUGUCCGGAACCAUUGGGCGUAAAGAGCGUGUAGGCGGCUCGGUAAGUCCGCUGUGAAAGUCCAGGGCUCAACCCUGGAAUGCCGGUGGAAACUGUCGAGCUAGAGUCCGGAAGAGGCGAGUGGAAUUCCUGGUGUAGCGGUGAAAUGCGCAGAUAUCAGGAGGAACACCAAUAGCGAAGGCAGCUCGCUGGGACGUUACUGACACUGAGGCGCGAAAGCGUGGGGAGCGAACAGG
rnacentral:rRNA from 1 species